CCUACGGGAGGCAGCAGUGGGGAAUAUUGGGCAAUGGAGGCAACUCUGAUGCAGCAAUGCCGCGUGAAUGAAGAAGGUCUUCGGAUUGUAAAGUUCUUUCAUCAGGGACGAAGAUGAUGACGGUACCUGAGGAAUAAGCAGCGGCAAACUAGGUGACAGCAGCCGCGGUAAUACAUAGGUGGCAAGCGUUGUCCGGAAUUACUGGGCGUAAAGGGAGCGUAGGCGGUCUGUUAAGUUGGAAGUGAAAUCCCGGGGCUCAACCCCGGAACUGCUUGCAAGACUGAGGGACUUGAGUGUAAGAGGGGUAAGUGGAAUUCCUAGUGUAGCGGUGGAAUGCGUAGAUAUUAGGAGGAACACCAGUGGCGAAGGCGGCUUACUGGAUUAUAACUGACGCUGAGGCUCGAAAGCGUGGGUAGCAAACAGGAUUAGAUACCCCUGUAGUC
rnacentral:rRNA from 1 species